ensembl:lncRNA
UUCAACUCAUGUCCCAUAUCCAGGUGGCGCUUUAACUGUACACCAUGGCUCAGUACUCUGGUUAGGCACACUCAGAGCUGAUCUGCUGAAAUGGCCUCUGGUACUUAAGGAUCUUGGCUUGACUUAUCAGUUUGAACUAGGGAUCAAAGCGAACUAUUUGGCAGUAUCAUUUCACAGGCAACUUUACAGACACCCCUGUGCAAGUAGUUGAAGCUUAGCUCUCAGAAUUAGGCAGCAGCUGAGCGAUGCUUUUGGAAAGAGGUGUCAGUGAUAAAGUUGGGUUCCUUGCCUCAUUAAGCACUUCAGUGUCUUCUGGGGACAUGUUCUGUCUCCCAGAGUGAUCACGUUUUAUGACAGCAUUUACUCCAUUACUGCAUGGUACAUUUCAUCACUGUGCAACAGCAGACAUAUCCUUCAUUAUUCAAAUACUUGACACAAAACUUGUUGACUGCUCUGAAAUAUUUUUUCUUGCCCUUCAGGCUGUCUUAUUUCUCUGUUCAAGGCUGUACAAGUACUACACUGUUAUUGCCAGACCCGUUUUCUACAAAUACAUGGGAAGGCACUAAUUGUGUCAGCAGCUUGGCUUUCUGGAACUCUCAGCCUCAGCUGCUGUGCUGGUAACUAAGUGUAAUCCAGCUGGCCAGCCAGCUUGCUGAGCUCCUGCAAGCUGAACUGCAGAUUGUACCCUCAACCUUUUACUGGCUGGCUUAAUACAACAUUGCAGGGGAGAUGGACUGUAAUGCAAUUAUCUUACAAGAAAAACUGAAGACCUAAACAUGUCUGCCUCUGCAGGGCAGUGAAAUGGAAAAUAAAGUGUCAGAUGUAUUACAUCAUGAUUGUACUUUAAAUUGCUGUUGUCAGCAAAAUAGUGAUUCCAGCCAGAUACUCAUUGCCAUGCAACAGAACACUGCUGGAGUUCUAAGUAAAAAGAAUUUUCACAUAUAGUGUAAUGGCUUCCCUCUCUUUUAUUCUAAACUUGUAUCAGUUAAUUUACUGGAAAUUUCUUGAUACUGAACAGUGUGAUGUGCCCAGAAAGCAUGCCUUCAAAAAGCUUCCUGGAAUAAAUGAGCUGACCUCUGCAGUGGGUGCUUUGGAUAGCAUAAACUAAAACUAUGAUGCCUCAGAUGUAAGUUAAAAAACUUCCAUGAGACAGUAUUAAUUAAAAAUGAACAUGUCCAUUUUAAUACUGAUUCAACUACAUACUUUUUUUCUACACUGUGUACAAAUCAAUAUGCAAGUUCUAUUUCUAGCUUAAACUCUCUUAUUUGUUUAUGCAGUGAUGACAACCCUGACUCCCUUUCACUGGUAUCUGAAUUUUUGGCCCUGACUAUUUAUGAGCUGAUAAAAGUACAGAAAUGGGAUAUUUCAGAGCAACAAGAAAACAUAAUAAUAAAGUUUCCAGCCUCUUUUUCUUGGAUGUAAUGAGCUGGACCACAUCUCAAAAAUCCAUGAAGUGAUAGGCACUCCUGGUAACAAAACUCCAAAAUUUCAAGCAGUGGAUCUUACUCAGUUUGGCACAUACAAUACUUCAAGGAUAUUGAUUUCCUAACAAGUUCUUUGCUGUUAAACCUCUGGAGACAACUUACACUUCUCUGGCUGUUGGAUGAAUAGGCAAACUUGUGUUUCCCAUCUGCUUUAUAGUUAAAAUACACCCAAACUUUAAACUACAAACUGGCAAGGAUGGUCCCACCCUCAUUCUUCCAGCUAAAAUUCCAUACUGAGAUUAUCUGUGUUCCGCUUACUUUUAAUUAUUUUUUUUAAUGUAGUAGGAAAAAUAUUUUAUUAAAAGUUGCAUCUACAGUAGAGUUCGUAAGUUCCUUCCAGGUAAGUUAUUAGUACCCUGUUUCUUACUAAAAUAAUUUUUUUUCCAUAUAGAACAGAGUGUGGUAUGGACAAUUUAAGCUUCUAGGUGAUUGCCCUAAUAGUAAAGAAGAGGCUGAAAAAAGAAAACCCACACACAUUCCUUGUGUGCUGCUGGACUACAAUUUGUGGCAGGGACAUACCCUGCCAACAUGGAUGUGAGUAGCUGCUGUUGUUCCCCUGAUGCUGGAUAUUGCAAUUCUUCCCCUACUGGUUUGUAUUUUUCCAGCUGAAGGAAAAAAAAGUCUUUUAAAAAGUUACUGCAUAUUUUUUCAGCUAUGUUAUUUUGACUCAGACCAUAUGAAGCACUUAUAUAGAAGUCGUCUACGGGGAGAUAACUACAUGAGUUUUCAGUGAUGAGGUUUAUCUGUAUUUUAACAGUUAAACCCACUAUGUUAAUAAAACAAAACUUCUGAAA